rnacentral:lncRNA from 1 species
ACCGCCGCGAACCCCGAGCGGCGCCGCUUCCGCCGGGCGCGGCUGCUCCGGGCCGGCCCCGGGGACCCCGGGGCUGCGGCACCGCCAGGGAAGGGAACGGGGCCGGGAGCGGCUGGGGAAUCCCUGAGGGAGCUGGGCAGGGCUCACCUGGAGCAAAGGAGGGAUCUUUUCCCUCUCUGCAAUUCCCUGCCAGGAGGGCACAGCCGGGGGAUGUCGGGCUGUGCUCCAGGGAACAGGGACAGGAGCAGAGGGAACGGCCUCAGGCUGGGCUGGGGAGGCUCACGGUGGAUAUUUCGGAGAAUUUCCCCGUGGAAAGGGGGCUCAGGGAUUGGAACUGCCCAGGGAGGUUUGGGGUGCCCAUCCCUGGAGGUGCCCAAGGAUUUCCUGGAGGUGGCACUCAGCUCUGGGCUGGGGACAAGGGCUCGGGAUGGAUUUCCUGACGCUGUUCCUGCUGUACCUGUGCUCCGUGCUGGCCGUGGCUGCCCUGCUGUGCCUGAGCUCGGGAAGGCAGGAGAGCUUCCUCACCAGGAGCGUCACCAGGGCCAGCCAGGUACAGCCCUGCGCUGCCAGGCAGGGAAUGAGCUGCCAGGGGAACCAGCAGCUGCCCUGUGUGCUAAAAUUAGGGCAACUGCUGUAUUUGUUAUCAAAAAAAAGCCAACAAAAGCCAGUGUGUGUGGUCACAGUGAUAAUAUAUUUCAUCCUGCUUUAAUGCCUGCUCUCAAGGAAGUGAGAUAGGAAGUAGAAAUACACUUCUCUGAGAUGGUUCAAUCCUGCCCAAGCAGGUUGUAAAAAUCAUUUGGGUCUCCCAGCCCUGCCCGUGCCUGUCUGGGGUGAGGUUGGAGCUUCCCACCGUGCCAGAAGUGCCUUCCUCACUAACACCACAACACAUCUCAGAAAAAUUAAAUAAGAAUCGGGCCCCAGGGAUUUGCAGUUUUGUGGUGUUGCUGCUGUCAUCAAGAGGAGAAAGGUGGGGGAGGUUUGAGGAUUAAAAUAGGGAGAGAAUUAUAAGUGGUGGCAAAUAUUUGAGGGAAAGCUCUUUAAUGUGUGUACUAAUGCUGCAGGCUCUUGUUCAAUAAGAAAGAAGCAGGAAUGAAGAGCUUUAAAAGAGGAUUAAGAAUUGGCAUUUUAUUGUAAAAACGAGGAAUUGGGAAAGCACCAGUUCAUUUUUCUGUUUGUUGGGCUGUGUCUGAAUGAAAAGGAAAAAAUAAUGCUGUAAUAUUUCUGGAAGGUAAAGGAUGAGAAAAUUAUCACUUAAAUCGAAAAUUAUGUUUAAUGCUGUUCACAGGAGUUCAGGCAGACUUUUUUUUAUUACUGGCAUUAUACUUCCUUUUGGUUUAUAGACACACUGUGCAGAGAAAUUGAUUUUUUUCCCCCAUAUCUUAAUAGCUGCUGCUAUGAAGUGUUUAGACAGCAGCAAUUAAAUUACUGCUGUGGUAUGAAGCCACUGUCUGGGGGAAUCCAAUCAAUACUUGUGCCUGGGAAAUAAAUACAUAUGAAUGUAAUCA